rnacentral:rRNA from 1 species
AGAGUUUGAUCCUGGCUCAGGAUCAACGCUGGCGGCGUGCCUAAUGCAUGCAAGUCGCACGGACAGUCUUCGGACUGCCAGUGGCGAACGGCUGAGGAACACGUGCGUAUCUGCCUUCUCGUGGGGAAUAACGGGUGGAAACACCCGCUAAUACCGCGUACGCUCAUGCAAAUGAGGAAAGCCCUUCGGGGCGCGGGGAGAGGAGCGCGCGGCCCAUCAGGUAGAUGGCGGGGUAAUGGCCCACCAUGCCGGUGACGGGUCGCUGGUCUGUGAGGAUGGCCAGCCAGACUGGGACUGCGACACGGCCCAGACACCUACGGGUGGCAGCAGCAAGGAAUCUUCGGCAAUGGGCGCAAGCCUGACCGAGCAACGCCGCGUGGAGGACGACGGCCUUCGGGUUGUAAACUCCUUUUGGGAGGGAUGAUACGGACAGUACCUCCUGAAUAAGCCCCGGCUAACUCUGUGCCAGCAGCCGCGGUAAUACAGAGGGGGCAAGCGUUGUCCGGACUUACUGGGCGUACAGCGCGCGCAGGUGGUCGGCUAAGUUCGUGGUGACAGCGUGCGGCUCAACCGCACACGGUCCAGGGAGACUGGUCGACUAGAGGCAUCGAGAGGGAAACGGAAUACCCGGUGGAGCGGUGAAAUGCGUAGAGAUCGGGUGGAACACCAGUGGCGAAGGCGGUUUCCUGGCGAUGACCUGACACUGAGGCGCGACAGCGUGGGGAGCAAACGGGAUUAGAUACCCCAGUAGUCC